GGAAGGGAACCUAGCGUGUCGAGUGCUUACUCUGUGUGGCAUUGUGCUAGGUGUUGUUUAAAAUUAGCACAUUGAAUCUCAACAAGGUGUGAGACACAUAGCCUGAUUUCUCAUUUUAUGGUGGAAGAAACUGAGGUUCAGCCAUCUAUUUAUUUCCUUGACUCACACAGCUGGAAUUCUGAACAAAAACUCAAACCUACAUCCAGCAUGAAGGUCUCACUCGCCGUCCAGAAGUGCGACAAACAGCAUGGAGUUACUGCUAAAAUUAUAACUAAAGAGGAGGAAGAAAGACUAAUUAAUCAAGUGUGGUAUCAGUCGAAAGUUCGAUAUGUUAUCUCUUUGGUCACCAGACUCCUGGCAGGAGAAAGGCUUCCAGGAUCCAGUGUGGGUGUUUUUUCCAUUGCUAAUCACCGUGACCUGCCAGGCUGAAAUGCAGAGAUAGGUGAGGAAACCUGGAUUCCCGCUUGAUCCUCUGGCGCAGAGCUGCCCACCCAGGCUGGAGAGCUUGCCUAGCUCAUUGUGGUCCAUGAGAAUGAAACAAACUCCUGCUAUGUUUGGUAAAGUCUUAACUAUUUUCCAAGUAUCCCCUCCAGAAAAGUGUUGUGGGAUUUACCAAUGGGAAGGGGAACCCAGGGUGCGGUGGGGGAUUAUAAGAAAUCCUGCUGGAGUGCCUCUCCUGUAGCAGGCCCUGGGCAGUGGGGGGCCAUGCAGGAUCCCAUUAAGGCUUCAUGUUGAGCCCACAGGACACUCAGCAUUUAGACUUCUGCCCACAUGGGCCUUGACUGCCAAGCGAGUAAGGACCAAACAGCACCACUUAUGGAAGAAUUUUGCUUCCCUCUUCCCCAUCCUUCUUUAAGACCAAAAAGCGCUAGAGAAGAAAGGGGAGGGAGGAAAGUGCGAGAGAAGAGCACACUCCCUUCCACGGUGGACAGCAGGUCUCCUGAGUCAGGAGGGAGAUGAUGAGGUUGGGUAUGAGUUUGAAGCUUUAAGCUGGAUCAAUUGUAUUACAUUUCAUUUUUUUGUAUCUGAAAAUGAGCAUAAAGUGCUAAAUAAAAUGUUAUUUAGGGCAGAGGGAGUGAGGUUCAACAGAGCUUUUUUGGGGCAGUCACUGGAAGAAAUAGUAUUUUUCAUGUUUGGACUCUACUCAGUUUAGACCAGUCAAUAAACUGGUUACAAACUGAAAAAAAAAAAAUAGCUAGAAUUAUAGCUCUAGCCCUCCUCCCACCCUGGUUUGGCCGAGGCCCGCUACCUUAGAAAAGGCACAUGUGUGUAUCUGUGUGAAGAGGGGCUGGAGACAGGGGUGAGUACCGGAGAUCCAGACGCGGGAACCCCAGCGGCUCAGAGGCCGAGGGCUGGUCAGCAGCGCCCUGCAGGGCUUCAGAGGGCAGGUGCUUCUCCUCCACACCCACCCGUGUUUCCUCUUUGUGGGACGAGCUCAGUGGGAGUAACUCUCUCGCCUCUCUAGGGCUCUUUACUCUCUCCCUCCCAGGACAGCUGGAAAACUUCACUGAUUGGCGACUUGGGGAUGAAUAAAGGGCACAGUCAGCGGAACUCCUCCCUACUCCUUCUGAGAGUAAGUGUCCCAAGGGCUGUAUACUUGAUGUCUCCACACACAAGUGGCACAGGACACGGACCCCACCUGGGGACCCUGCAGUGGUUCAGGGCUCCAUGGGUCUGGGUGGCAAAGGAAAGGAUUAGCAUUGUUGGGCCCUCCCAAUGCAACCCUGAGGGCAUCCACAUGGACAAGCAGAAAACAGCACACUCCAGACAAGAGAAACAGCGGCCCAAGGACAGUCCAGGAGACAUGAUCGGAAAGCAGCUCAAAUUAUCAAAUUUCCAACCCCACCUUGGCACUCCCAGAGAGAUGCAAAAAAAGAAAGUCUGAGGAAGCCAUGUGGCAGGUGAGGCUGGUAACAGAGCAGAUUUGGGGGCAAACUCUUAAAGUGACUUAACCUGGUUCCAUCAGGAUGGCAAUUAAGGGAAGAUUUGUGCUGCAAGAAUCAACUAAUACUUGAAGACCUCCUGAUAGGUAAAUAAUACUAUUCCAGGUGUUUUAUGGAGCUUAGGGGACAAGCUGUCUAACACCUAAUACGUUUAUAGUCUAAUACAAUUUACUGAAAUGUCAACUUUUCUUCCUGCCGCGGAAGGAAAGAAACCACAUUUUCCUCAGAGGUUUCCACUCAUUCUUUGAGUUUUAUCCCUCCUUGUUUUAUUGAUUCUGCAGCUUGGUGGGAAAGGUAUGAGAUUAGAUUAAAGGAACCAACCAGUGAGAUCCAGCUGAACCGCUCAAAUUCCAUUGAAGGACUGAAGAUUCUCGGGACGCAGGGUUUUGCAGAUGUUCAUUUCAAACCACCUUUUAAAAAGUAGAGGUGCAGGUACAUGUGCUUCGCCAUUCCUAACUGAUUUUUAUCUUGUAGGAGAAAAUUCUGAGCUCAGCACAAUUCUUGUCCUAAAGAAGUGUUUCAUAAUGAUGCUCAUACAAAUUCUUGUUACAACACAGCUAACAAGAGCCAGCUAACCGCCGACUAGAAGCCAGCCCUGGUGGUCUCGUGGUGAAGAUCUUGCGCUCUCACUGCCACGACCUGGGUUCCUGACCCCAUCGGGGCACCACACCACUUGUCUGUCGAUUGUCGUCCUGUGGCGGCUGCAUGUUGCUGUGGUGUGAAAGCUAUGUCACCGGGAUUUCAAGUGCCAGCAGGGUCACCCAUGGUGGACAGGUGUCAGGGAGCUUCCAGACUAAGACAGGACCUGGCCACUCACUUCCGAAAAGAUGGGUCACGUAAACCCUGAGAACAGCAGCGGCACAGGAAGGUGAGAGGGUGGCCCAAAGGACUGGGCAGGGACACAGUGUCACUGGGAGUUGCAGUCCACUCCACGGCGCUAACGUCAAAGGAGACUAGAAGUCAAAGAAGCAAAGAGUGAGCGAGCGGCGGUGGGGGACCGUUAGAGGCGGGCGCCCGCAAUCAGCAGGAUGACGUCUCACAUGCGGCCAGUGAGGAUGCUCCGGAGAACCUGCGCGUUCCCACGUCCCACAGACUUCUGAGCACCUCCGUGUGCCAGCCUCUGUUCUGGGCCCCCAGGGGCUGUCGGCAAACAAUCAGUCGAGGUCUCUGUCCUCAGGAAGCUUGCAUUCCAGCAGGUUUCUCGUUGAACAGCAAACCCGUGGGUGUGUUUGGGAGGUUGGCACACGCCUCGUGGAUUGUGGUAGCUACAGCUCACUCAUGGCAGUGACGGCGAGGAUAACUGAGAGCCAUUCUGGGCCCACCGUGGGCCAGGCGCCGCCCCUGCCUUCUGCACGGCAGCUUCUUCGGCCCUCAUUGAAACCCUCGGGUUCUCUUUUCUCCUGAACCGGUCACUAUGGCUAAGCAGCGUGGCAUGCUCUGAUGGUGAAUCAGCCCGCUGUCUGGGACAGCCCGCCGUGCCCUCCCCUCCCUGCCACACCUGCACCUCCUUGGGUCUGAAACAAAUGUCAUCGGUCCCCUCAGAGCCAUGUUGAUGGAGCAGAUACUGGGCUGGGGUGAGGGUCGGCUUGCCGGAGGAGGUGACACUGGGCAGACCAGUAAACAUGUCCCAAGUCACACACAGGCCAUUCUAGGACGUCAGCACUCAGAGUCCAUAACGCACAUGUUGUCCGCGGCCACAAAGGGCCAGGAAUGACAGGCACCGCCAAGGCUACUUGGUUGUUUAAGCAAUCAGAGUUUAUUGAUAAAGGGAACAGAACAAGCAGGGAAGCAAACAACAAAUCAGUGCUUACAACAUCCACACCACAGUCAGCCGGGAAGUCCCCAUAGUUUGUACAGUGGGCGGGAAUGCCCAUUGUCCUGGUCUGAGGCAAAGCGUCCUUUCCUCAGUGAGACUCCCAAUUAUUCUAUGCCUAUGACUCCCUUUUAUCCUAAGGUUUCUCUAGGUUCUGACUCAGGGUUUCAGACAUUUAGAUACUCUGAGUUAUUUCUUCUUGUUCCCAUGGAUGGAGUGUUUUUAUCUUUUUUGUUCCCACGGAUGGGAUGUUUCUAAAGUCCCAUCAGGUGCCCGUUGGGGUGGCCAGCCCAGACAAGGAACAUGACGCAGGACAUAUUCUUUGUAACUUGUGCCUUAGAGUCAGGGCCGAAGUGGCCAUCUUUGGCCCUGAGCCAGACACAUUCCUUCACGUAGGGCCCAGGCCCAGUGUCCUUGGAAGGCGGGGAGAUCAAUGAACUCCAUACAGCACGAGUGUUGUGGCAGGAUGGAGCAGAAAUGGGACCACUGUAACCCCAUUUUAUAAAUGAGAGCACCAAGGCACAAAGGGCCACGGGACUUGCUCAGGUUCCCACACCUAAUAAAUGGUGGAGAUGGGAUUUUGGUCUGACUCUCGAGGCCACGCCUUCAUCCCUGCACUAUUCCGAUAAAGUCAUAAAGACAACUUUCCUUAUCAUAGUUCAAGGGUUUGAAGAUGCCUGUCUUUCCCAUUUUAACAUCUCUAUGCUGGGAUGUGUCAUAUGAUAGAUGUGACAAGGAUAGGCAGCAUCAGUUUAAUUGGCAGCAUUCUGUCUUCCUCCAUGGCACAUAAAAUAAUAGUGCAUCUGGCAGAAAAGUCACCUGAGGGGAUGAAGCGCUGUGUUCUUUCAACAAACAUUGAUAAUGUGCCUACUCCAGACGGCUGUACCAGGCGUGCUGUGCAGAGGAGUGGGAGACACAGAGUCAGAGGAUUAAGGAUCGCCCACAAUGCAACGUGAGUGUGCAGUGGAGUCAUGCCUGGGAGGGUGUGGGAGCACAAAGGGGGACACUAGCCAGAGGGCUCUGGGAAGCCUUCCCAGAGGAUGGAAUAUGGGUGGUUGGAGGAAGGAGGUAAGUUUGGGGGGACAAAAGUGGCUCCAUCCUGAGGGAGGAUAAAAUACGGGGCAGAGAGCAGUUCACGAUGAGGCUUGAGGCGCUCAGCACCAUUGAUGUAAUGAUGCAUGACUCAGCUGGACCACGGAGGUUCAUGGAUGUCAUGCUGUGCACACUGCAAGCAACGAGGAUCCACUUAAGGAGUGCGAGCAGGCCAUGGCCAGAGCCCAUGUUGGGAAGUUCCCUGUGGGAGCUUGGUGCCCAGCGGUUUGAACUGGAGGCUGGUUCAGGGGCUGAGACGGUCAUUGAGAAGGCCAGCAUCCAGGGAGCCAGUGUCAGAGCGCAGAGGAGGAGGUCUGAAACUAGAGAUGAAAUUGGAGAGGCUUGGUGACUGGAACUGGGGGCGAGGCGGAGAGAAGAGUCAGGGACGAUUUCCAGGUUCUGCGCUUGGACAACUGGCUAGGUGGUGAUGCCGCUGACUAGGGCAGAGAAUAAAGAAAAAGGAACAGUUUAGGGAGAAAGACGAUGUGUAUGAUGAUGUGCGUGUUGAGUCUGAGGGUUCUCCACCAUAAGGAGGUGGCGUUUGUGACUAAGUGGAGCCUUCAGGUUUGAAGACAGAGUCAGAGGUCAGUAACAUUGGGAGUGAGUUAAAACUGUGGGCUCCUUAAGGGGGGAGACUCUGUUUUUCUGUCUUCCCCCUAUUUUUAGUGCCUAGCUUGGGAACUGGCACAUAAUCAAUGCUCGAUAAACAGUUGCCCUUAUGUAAGUAUAAUGAUCAUCAUAAUCUAUGGUGUCUAUGAGAACGUGUGUGCGGAAGUGUGUCUGCAUGUGUGUGUGUGUGGUUACAGUGCUUUUUUUUUUUUUUUUUUUUAAAGAUUUUAUUUUUUCCUUUUUCUCCCCAAAGCCCCCCGGUACAUAGUUGUGUAUUCUUCAUUGUGGGUUCCUCUAGUUGUGGCAUGUGGGACGCUGCCUCAGCGUGGUCUGACGAGCAGUGCCAUGUCCGCGCCCAGGAUUCGAACCGACGAAACACUGGGCCUCCUGCAGCGGAGCGCGCGAACUUAACCACUCGGCCACGGGGCCAGCCCCUACAGUGCUUUUUAUAUGCUAGGCACUCUUCUAAGAUCCCUGCAGGCUUUAACUCUCGUUUCCUUCCUGAAGUAACACAUGAGGUAUGUACCACAGUUACCCGCACCUUAUAGACGGGGCCACUGAGGCACAGAGAGCCUGACUAACUUGCCUGCUUCCCAGAGCGGGAAGUGGUUGAGCUAGGAUUUAAAGCAGGGUGACCUGGCUUCUCUGUGCCUUUGGUCUAGUUUUUUGUUUUAAAUAAAAUUUUCCUUCUUUUAGCAAUUGGUAAAGAAAAAAUUUCAGCACACAAAAGGUUAAGCUCCAGCGGUUUGGAAGUUUUAUUCUUUCGUCUCACUUGGCAAAUGCACAUUCAUAUGACAAGAUUCAGCCUGAGCAUCACCGUCUUUAUGAACCUUUCCUUGGCCCCAGGUCUUUUCUUCCAAAGUUAAGCUCUCCUUCCUCUGGGCUCCCCUAUACCCUUAGGAUGCUGCCAUUAAAGUAUUUACCACUUUGUACUGAAUCUUUUUUUUUCUCAACUUGAAUCCUUCCUGAAGAUGGAGACUAGCGUUUGCUAAUUGAAUGAAUGAAGAAAAAAGGUUUUCCUCAUUUUACUGACAUUUGACAAAUAAGGUGUUAGCAUAGACAGCACACUUCCUGCUCUCUCCGAGCUUCCAGUGCAGCUGCAGGGACCACCACAGAAGGGCCACCUUCCCCCACACGCAGAACCUUGGAGUACGGUGUGUUGCCACAGGUCAAUCAGCCACAGCCGCUCCUCAUAGCAAGAGCCGAGCUUAGGGCCUCAUUGCCUCUGCCUCAUCCCGUGUCCAGGGAGGAAGUGAGGGGUGCUCCCACGAUGCCUGUAGGGGGACAUCCACGCGCUCCCCCAAAGCUGGAGCCCAGACAACAUAGACACCAGGUGCUGACACUGGAAAUCCGGGAAUUCCUUUAAUAUUCAAGAUCUCGGUUUCUUCUCUUUGAUGUAACGGGAUCUAGGAAUGCUCAGAACACCCCCUGAAACCCCUGUUUCCUAAAGACCUGUUUAUAUUAGUCCUUGCUCUGUGUUUAUUUGGGAGUAAAAUCCACGUUUGGAAUCCUCGCAGCAUAUGGUGAGUGUUUGCUGUACGGGGUGGGGUACCUGUUUCUGCAUCAUGUGACGAAAGUGCAGCAGCUGUAAUAUCUCAUUACAGGGCUUCACUUUAUUUAAUUAAAAAAAUAGCACUGCUCUACUUAACAAUAUUAUCCUCGUCCCCCACCCACCCGCAAAACCUGAUCUGCAGUUUCGAUGCCUCUGCCGUAAUCGCUUCGGACGGUCUGCACGUGACGUGGGUGAGCUCGAGGAUCGGCUUUCCAUCUCGUUGCUUCAGACGGUGCUUUCACUGUGAGCCAUUAGUCACCAGAUGCUGACAAGUGUUUGUACGGAUGCCAUCUCCCCCUUUGUUUAUAUGCAAGUGCAGCAACCGAAAUGAUUUAUUUAUGCCUUAAUUAAAAUUUGUGGAUAGACCAGUGAGUUUUAGCAGUGACUUUUCUAAUUUGUGGGUUCCAGAAAGAAAAAAAUCAAUAACCUGAUACCAUUUAUGUUUUUAUAGUUACCCAGGCAUUUAUAAUGCAGACCUGCCACUCACCUGCAGCCUCCCUUGGAGGAGAGUGGUCCUCGCCACAUAAAUCUCCCCCAGAGGCCGAGAGGGUCCAUAUUUCAGAGUCACUUCCCUUCUGUGUCAGCUGCGAGUGAGAUGUUACAUGCUUUCCAUUCUCAUGGUUCUCAUGGCAAGGCACAGGCUAAAAUUCACAUUGAAAGUAAAUUGAUGGACUGUAAGUUUUAUAAUACCUGACCCAAUCUGUAAUGACUGCUUAGAAUUUUAAUAAUUUAAGCCCAAUGAAUGUGAUUCCUGCAUAUCGCUCUCCACAUUGAGAAUGUACCCCAUAGGGUCUUUGGAAAGAACUUACCCCAAAUGCCGAGCUUUUAUGGGAACUUAAUAUAUUCGACAUUGCAGGUGCAUAAAUCUCCAUGAAAUUGCACCAAGUUAACGUAUUUACUGGUGCAUGCAAUUUAGUAACUACUUUGUAAAAGUCUAAAUAAAGAUAGAUAAGACAGGUAGAUAUGGAGAAAUAAUGAGUAAAUGUUCCAAUGUAUAUUAACAAGAUGAGUUAAUUGCCUUCGCAAGGCUAUCAGCCUCACUGGAAAAGAAUUAAUUAAUUUUCAAGGUGUUUGGGAUGGUUUUAAUUGCUGUUUCUCAAAGUCUGGGGGAAAUGAGCUGUUUUUGCAUUUUCUGCCAAACUCAAGUUAUUCUCUCCCCAAUAGUCAGAGCUGGGGGGUGCGAGGGGAGUGAUGACAAGCUGGGUGGAAAGAGAGAUGCUCAGUUUUGCUCGCCUCUCCCCCCGCCCCCCGGAGAUAAAGGCACAAGUAGCGAGGAAAAGCUCAUUUUAUUCAGAAAAUCCUCUUAAGAAGGACCCCGCUUGAGUUCCUGCAGCCUCCUCUUCUUCAGAAUACGAAUCUUCCGAAUCUUCCGCAGUCCAUGCUCACACUCAUGCGCACGUGUUUGACUUUUCCCCUUCUCUCCUGCCUCCCCCUUCCCUUAG
ensembl:lncRNA